UGCUGCCGCCGUAGCGCCCUCCCUUGGCUCCCUAGGGCCCGGGCAGCGCUUCUGGCUUCCCCGACACCUAUAAAGGGCGGUUCCUCGGCUCCUCUUCUCGCUCCGGCACUGUGUGUCACAGGUCUCGGAGCGAUGGAUAAAGGGUCUUACUCUGUGACUGAGAUGCUGCAGUUGGAAGGAAGGAGUUUGAAACCUUUGGUGUGUAACCCAAUGGUCAGGAUAACCAUGGCUAUGUGGAAUUAUUUGUGAAAACGCAGGUAACUCCAAGGAUGGAGUACCAAUGUGAGGAGAAAGGUGACAUUGGGCUUUAAUCCUUGAAAUACUUUGCUGCUGAGAUUAGGAUUGCCAUCUUAUUUCAUGUUUUAAAAGGGGUUGGGUGUACGUGGAGGGGGUUCAAGACAAGUACGCAACUGCACGCACCUAAAGUAAGCACUCAAAAUAUAUCGAUAAGGAUGAAUUGGAAAUUUGCAUAAUACUUGCAAGAGUCCUAGAAAUGUGUGCAAAUAAAUACUUGAUUUGAUGCAAAAAUGAAACAUUUCAUUAAUUCACAAGAAACUAAAGGCAUGUAAAUGUGGAAUUUUGCCUCAUUUAUAGCAAGAUAUUUUAUCCUGCUAUUUAAUAUACUCACCACAUGCACUCUCUUGUAGUGCUGUUUCAAAGUUUGUAAAGUCCGUGAAAUAAAACCACAUCCUUCAACAUCA